GAUGAACGCUGGCGGCGUGCCUAAUACAUGCAAGUCGAGCGAACGGACGAGAAGCUUGCUUCUCUGAUGUUAGCGGCGCACGGGAGAGUAACACGUGGAUAACCUACCUAUAAGACUGGUAUAACUUCGGGAAACCGGAGCUAAUAGCGGAUGAGAUUUUGAACCGCAUGGUUCAAAAGUGAAAGACGGUCUUGCUGUCACUUAUAGAUGGAUCCGCGCUGCAUUAGCUAGUUGGUAGGGUAACGGCUUACCAAGGCUACGAUGCAUAGCCGACGUGAUAGGGUGAUCGCCAACUGAGGAGCUGAGAGGCGACACAGGCUCUGAGGGACGGCACCGACAGGUACUCGAGCGCACUGGGGGAAAGCUUGCCGGAGGAGCGCAGGGCGGGUGAAGAAGGGCUUCGGGUCGUAAAACGCUGUUCUGGGGGAAAACCAUUUUUGUAAGUAACGGUGCGUAUGUGGCCGUAACCGAAAAAGAAGGCCCCGCUUAAUUCCUU
rnacentral:rRNA from 1 species